AUUGAACGCUGGCGGCAGGCCUAACACAUGCAAGUCGAGCGGAAACGAGUUAUCAGAACCUUCGGGGGACGAUAACGGCGUCGAGCGGCGGACGGGUGAGUAAUGCCUAGGAAAUUGCCCUGAUGUGGGGGAUAACCAUUGGAAACAAUGGCUAAUACCGCAUGAUGCCUACGGGCCAAAGAGGGGGACCUUCGGGCCUCUCGCGUCAGGAUAUGCCUAGGUGGGAUUAGCUAGUUGGUGAGGUAAGGGCUCACCAAGGCGACGAUCCCUAGCUGGUCUGAGAGGAUGAUCAGCCACACUGGAACUGAGACACGGUCCAGACUCCUACGGGAGGCAGCAGUGGGGAAUAUUGCACAAUGGGCGCAAGCCUGAUGCAGCCAUGCCGCGUGUGUGAAGAAGGCCUUCGGGUUGUAAAGCACUUUCAGUUGUGAGGAAGGCGGUGUAGUUAAUAGCUGCAUCGUUUGACGUUAGCGACAGAAGAAGCACCGGCUAACUCCGUGCCAGCAGCCGCGGUAAUACGGAGGGUGCGAGCGUUAAUCGGAAUUACUGGGCGUAAAGCGCAUGCAGGUGGUUUGUUAAGUCAGAUGUGAAAGCCCGGGGCUCAACCUCGGAAUUGCAUUUGAAACUGGCAGACUAGAGUACUGUAGAGGGGGGUAGAAUUUCAGGUGUAGCGGUGAAUGCGUAGAGAUCUGAAGGAAUACCGGUGGCGAAGGCGGCCCCUGGACAGAUACUGACACUCAGAUGCGAAAGCGUGGGGAGCAAACAGG
rnacentral:rRNA from 1 species